rnacentral:rRNA from 1 species
UACGAAGGGGACUAGCGUUGUUCGGAAUCACUGGGCGUAAAGCGCACGUAGGCGGAUAUGUCAGUCAGGGGUGAAAUCCCGGGGCUCAACCUCGGAACUGCCCUUGAUACAGCAUAUCUUGAGUCCGAUAGAGGUGGGUGGAAUUCCUAGUGUAGAGGUGAAAUUCGUAGAUAUUAGGAAGAACACCGGUGGCGAAGGCGGCCCACUGGAUCGGUACUGACGGUGAGGUGCGAAAGCGUGGGGAGCAAACAGG